rnacentral:misc_RNA from 1 species
UUCUUUGAUAUUAUAAUUAAAAAUAGAAAAAAACAUGAGAUUUUACGCGUGCGCGUAAUAGAUUUGAAAUUCAAUGGAAAUACAAAUGGUGUAAACAUGACUGAAGAACUCUCUGGUGUCACAAUAGUGAUAUUUAUUGCGGCCGGAGUUUUAACAAUAUUAUUAUUAUUCAUAUUUGCAAAACGACAAAUAAUGAGAUUCGCGUUACGAUCACGUCGUGGUCCUCAUAUUCCUAUUGGACAUGAUGCAAGGAAGUCAUUGAAGAAGGAAAUUGAAAGACGGAUAGAAGUAAUACCAAAAAUUCAAUAUGAGCCACAACUUAUUAGUGAUCCAAGACUUAUUUUAACUCCUCGAGGACAUGUUCCACCACAUUAUUAUAGAUUAAAAGCAGUGGAUGAUGUUAAAACUUUAGAAGCUGAAAUUACCAAAUAUGAUAAUUGUUUAAGGAGGCAUCCAUCUGAGAAUUUACGAGCAUAUUUACUUGCCACAUUAGCAACUCCAUUAAAUGGAAGUGGACAAAGAUUAAUUCAUCAAUUCUGUGAUUUAUAUGAACAUGCACGACAUGAUCCAACUGAAUUUGGAGACGAGGAAUAUCAAGUAUAUACCCGUUUAUUUCUUAAAUUAAUGGAUGCGGCCCGUUUGUUAAAAUCGUAUCCGAGCAGUAGAAAAUCUAGUCCAAGUCGUACACCUAUAAAGAAAAAUGUUGAGACGAAAAGGAAUAUAUUAGAACCUAAAAUGAAAUUACCCGAAGAUCAAACAUUGACUGGUUCACGACCAAAUACAUUAACGGUAAUGAUGCUGGAUAAUAAUGAAACAUCUGUUUAGCAUUAUGAAAAUCGUCACAUACAACAUAUGUGACGAAUAGUUGUUUCAUAAUUGCUAAUUUCUACACUAUACGAAAUUGCAAAGAUACUUACAUAUUUGCAAAGCGUUGUACAAAUAAAUAGCCGGACAUAAAGUAAUUACUUCUGCCAUCAAUAUCAACAUAAGAUUUCCAAUAUAGUUAUCACAAUAGUCUAUAAUAUUUAAUAUAACAUCGAAAUUCGAUCUUGGAUCAGAAUCUUUUUUUAAUAAUUGUAUGAUCAAAGAUGCGAUCAUUGGCAAUAAAGCGGUACAAUGUUCUUUAUCCUUCUCUGAUAAAGCUUUCUCUGCAAGUU